rnacentral:rRNA from 1 species
AAUGAACGUUGGCGGCGUGGAUUAGGCAUGCAAGUCGAGGGAGAACCCGCAAGGGGGACACCGGCGAACGGGGUAGGAUCACCUCGGUGACGUACCCUCCGGACGGGGAUAGCGACGGGAAACUGUCGGUAAUACCCGAUGAUCUGGCGAGCUUUUGAGGCUUGUCAGCAAAGGUGAGAUUCCACCGGAGGAGCGGCUGAGGCGCUAUUAGCUAGUUGGGGAGGUAACGGCUCACCAAGGCGACGAUGGCUAGGGGGUGUGAGAGCAUGGCCCCCACCACUGGCACUGAGACACUGGCCAGACACCUACGGGUGGCUGCAGUCGAGAAUCUUCGG